UGGGGAAUAUUGCACAAUGGGCGAAAGCCUGAUGCAGCAAUGCCGCGUGUGUGAAGAAGGCCUGCGGGUUGUAAAGCACUUUCAGUAGAGAAGAGAAGCACGAGGUUAAUACCCGCGUGUCUUGACAUUAACUACAGAAGAAGCACCGGCUAACUCCGUGCCAGCAGCCGCGGUAAUACGGAGGGUGCGAGCGUUAAUCGGAAUUACUGGGCGUAAAGCGCGCGUAGGCGGCUAGGUCAGUCGGAUGUGAAAGCCCCGGGCUUAACCUGGGAACUGCAUUCGAUACUGCUUAGCUAGAGUAUGGUAGAGGGAAGUGGAAUUCCGGGUGUAGCGGUGAAAUGCGUAGAUAUCCGGAGGAACACCAGUGGCGAAGGCGACUUCCUGGACCAAUACUGACGCUGAGGUGCGAAAGCGUGGGGAGCAAACAGGAUUAGAUACCCCCGUAGUCC
rnacentral:rRNA from 1 species